UCGGGUAUGGUGUAACGGCUAACAUUGCCGCCUCUCAUUAGCAGAGUGCCGCGGCAGCUCGGGGUUCGAUUCCCCGUACCCGAA